rfam:Myotis brandtii contig300401, whole genome shotgun sequence.
AGCAGUUCUCAGGUGACGCACCCCGGAAUCGGGCUUCCUCUUCUUUGGUUCCGGGUACAUCACCUGAGAACCGCA